rnacentral:rRNA from 1 species
GUAGGUGGCAAGCGUUGUCCGGAAUUAUUGGGGCGUAAAGCGCGCGCAGGCGGGGUCCUUUAAGUCUGAUGUGAAAGCCCACGGGCUCAACCGUGGAGGGUCAUUGUAAACUGGGGAACUUGAGUACAGAAGAGGAAAGCGGAAUUCCAAGUGUAGCGGUGAAAUGCGUAGAGAUUUGGAGGAACACCAGUGGCGAAGGCGGCUUUCUGGUCUGUAACUGACGCUGAGGCGCGAAAGCGUGGGGAGCAAACAGGAUUAGAUACCCUGGUAGUCCACGCCGUAAACGAUGAGUGCUAAGUGUUAGGGGGUUUCCGCCCCUUAGUGCUGCAGCUAACGCAUUAAGCACUCCGCCUGGGGAGUACGGCCGCAAAGGCUG